UGGGGAAUAUUGCACAAUGGGCGAAAGCCUGAUGCAGCGACGCCGCGUGCGGGAUGAAGGCCUUCGGGUUGUAAACCGCUUUUAAUUGGGAGCAAGCGAGAGUGAGUGUACCUUUUGAAUAAGCACCGGCUAACUACGUGCCAGCAGCCGCGGUAAUACGUAGGGUGCAAGCGUUAUCCGGAAUUAUUGGGCGUAAAGAGCUCGUAGGCGGUUUGUCACGCCUGGUGUGAAAGUCCAUCGCUUAACGGUGGAUCUGCGCCGGGUACGGGCAGGCUAGAGUGCAGUAGGGGAGAUUGGAAUUCCCGGUGUAACGGUGGAAUGUGUAGAUAUCGGGAAGAACACCAAUGGCGAAGGCAGAUCUCUGGGCUGUUACUGACGCUGAGGAGCGAAAGCAUGGGGAGCGAACAGGGUUAGAUACCCUGGUAGUCCAUG
rnacentral:rRNA from 1 species